rnacentral:rRNA from 1 species
GACGUAGGGUGCGAGCGUUGUCCGGAAUCACUGGGCGUAAAGAGCUCGUAGGCGGGGUCGCGCGUCGUGGAGUAAAUUUCUAUGCUCAACGUAGACAUCUUCUGCGAUACGGCGACUCUUGAGGACAGGAGAGGAAAGCGGAAUUCCGAGUGUAGCGGUGAAAUGCGUAGAUAUCGUAAGGAAGACCAGUGGCGAAGGCGGGUCUCUGGACAGUUCCUGACGCUGAGGCACGAAGGUCAGGGGAGCAAACGGG